CUAGAGACGGUGGGAUUGUAC
rnacentral:siRNA from 1 species